UACGUAGGGUGCAAGCGUUAAUCGGAAUUACUGGGCGUAAAGCGUGCGCAGGCGGCUUUGCAAGACAGAUGUGAAAUCCCCGGGCUUAACCUGGGAACUGCAUUUGUGACUGCAUGGCUCGAGUACGGUAGAGGGGGAUGGAAUUCCGCGUGUAGCAGUGAAAUGCGUAGAUAUGCGGAGGAACACCGAUGGCGAAGGCAGUCCCCUGGACCUGUACUGACGCUCAUGACACGAA
rnacentral:rRNA from 1 species